rnacentral:sRNA from 1 species
CUUGUAUUGUACGAUGUUGCUGAGUCACAUCAAGGGGAUUGCUUUUUCUUGCCUUCUUUUCCUUUCCUUUUUUUUUUUUCCCCUUCUGUUUUCCCCCACGGACCGCGAAAGCUGGUUACAAUGAUCCUCGGCAAGCCGAGCAAGGGAUCAUCAUACAGAGGAUACAUGUACAGAUCUGUACAGUACAAACAUAUGCAGACCGACCGGUUAUAAAAUAUCGUUAUCAUUGCUUAUUAAUUUUUAAUUUAUUUUCUAGAUCGCGGGAGAUAAUAUUUUGUAUCUCAUAUUGACGCCGAAGGGUUAUUGUUUGCUUCGGGCCCUUUGCUGUUGUUUCGGGGCCGAGAUGGACAGUGCACGGGCCGCAUCUUGGUGGACGGCCCGUGAAGAGAGCAGGUCAGAGGAUGA